rnacentral:lncRNA from 1 species
UUAUAUUAUGGGACGGAGGGAGUAGAUAGUGUUUCAAGUUUUUCACUCACGGCAGCAUAAUCCAUCUCUUUUGUAGCCUUAGUUGGCUGGCACUCAUUCCUUUUAUGGCAGUACUUACUUCCACUAUUUUUAGUUGACGAUCCAUGUAUAAGUUCUUGUGAGUAUUUACUUUAUGGGUGUAGGGAAGCACAACUUGUUGGCGACUUCAACAACUGGAAUGGUUCUGGGCACAAGAUGGCGAAGGAUAAUUUUGGCGUUUGGUCAAUCAGGAUUUCCCAUGUCAAUGGGAAACCUGCCAUUCCUCACAAUUCCAAGGUUAAAUUUCGAUUUAGGCAUCAUGGAGUAUGGGUUGAACGGAUUCCUGCAUGGAUUCGUUAUGCAACUGUUACUGCCUCUGAAUCUGGAGCUCCAUACGAUGGUCUUCACUGGGAUCCACCAAGUAGUGAAAGGUCUAUUUUUAGUAGCUUGAGAGCAAUAAAUCUAAUUAAAGCCCAAAUAAAAUAAAACAAUGCAGUGUUUCGACAGUUUUAUUGUUCGUCUUCCAGGUAUGUAUUUAACCAUCCUCGACCUCCAAAGCCUGAUGUUCCACGUAUCUACGAGGCUCAUGUGGGGGUGAGUGGUGGAAAGCUUGAAGCAGGCACAUACAGGGAAUUUGCAGACAAUGUGUUACCGUGCUUAAGGGCAACUAACUACAACACAGUUCAGUUGAUGGGAAUCAUGGAACAUUCUGACUCUGCUUCUUUUGGGUAUCAUGUGACGAAUUUCUUCGCAGUUAGCAGCAGAUCAGGCACACCAGAGGACCUCAAAUAUCUUAUUGACAAGGCACAUAGUCUUGGAUUGCGUGUUCUGAUGGAUGUUGUCCACAGCCAUGCGAGUAAUAAUGUGAUAGAUGGUCUCAAUGGCUAUGAUGUUGGACAAAGUGCACACGAAUCCUAUUUCUACACAGGAGACAAGGGCUAUAAUAAGAUGUGGAAUGGCCGCAUGUUCAACUAUGCCAAUUGGGAGGUCCUGAGAUUUCUUCUUUCCAAUUUGAGAUAUUGGAUGGAUGAAUUCAUGUUUGAUGGCUUCCGAUUUGUUGGGGUUACAUCGAUGCUAUAUAAUCACAAUGGUAUCAAUAUGUCAUUCAAUGGAAAUUACAAAGAUUACAUUGGUUUGGAUACCAAUGUAGAUGCAUUUGUUUAUAUGAUGCUCGCAAACCAUUUAAUGCACAAACUCUUCCCAGAAGCAAUUGUUGUGGCAGUAGAUGUUUCAGGCAUGCCAGUUCUUUGUUGGCCAGUUGAUGAAGGUGGAUUAGGGUUUGACUAUCGCCAAGCUAUGACUAUUCCUGAUAGAUGGAUUGACUACUUGGAGAACAAAGGUGAUCAACAGUGGUCAAUGAGUAGUGUAAUAUCACAAACUUUGACUAACAGGCGAUAUCCGGAAAAGUUCAUUGCAUAUGCUGAGAGACAAAAUCAUGUAUGUUUCUCCCCUUUGUUGUUGUGCGUGAGUGUGUUUUCUUUGGGGUGGUGGGAGGUCAUUCUAAUGUCGGGCACUUCCUUUGCGUGCUUGGCAAUUUUAUUAAAUAAACAAUUGGGGAUGGAAAGGUGGGGGGACUUUUAAUUAUUUCACAAGCUCCAGAUAAUAGCACAAGCCAUCACAAGUUCCAGAUAAUUGUUGUUGUUGUGUNNNNNNNNNNNNNNNNNNNNNNNNNNNNNNNNNNNNNNNNNNNNNNNNNNNNNNNNNNNNNNNNNNNNNNNNNNNNNNNNNNNNNNNNNNNNNNNNNNNNNNNNNNNNNNNNNNNNNNNNNNNNNNNNNNNNNNNNNNNNNNNNNNNNNNNNNNNNNNNNNNNNNNNNNNNNNNNNNNNNNNNNNNNNNNNNNNNNNNNNNNNNNNNNNNNNNNNNNNNNNNNNNNNNNNNNNNNNNNNNNNNNNNNNNNNNNNNNNNNNNNNNNNNNNNNNNNNNNNNNNNNNNNNNNNNNNNNNNNNNNNNNNNNNNNNNNNNNNNACCUGCUUUUCAGAAAAUAGCAUAGACUAUCACAUUUCCAUUCUCACAACUAGUGAAAGGAUCCUAACCAGCUAUUAUGGACCAUGUAAGCACGUCCAAGGAUUACCAUUUGUAUACAGCCAACUUCGUGUUCAUCUACUGAAAUAACAACCGUAUAGUUAUUUUUUUCACAUAAAUUUUCAGUCUAUUAUUGGCAGCAAGACUAUGGCAUUUCUCUUGAUGGAAUGGGAAACGUAUUCCGGUAUGUCGGCCAUGGAUCCUGAUUCACCUACAAUAGAUCGUGCCAUUGCACUUCAAAAGGUUAAAUUCUUAUUAAGUAUUCGUGAAUUUAAUUGUUCUAUCUAGUUCUAAGUAUUGCAUUCCUUCUAGAUUUACUUAGAUUUCUGGCUAGCCCUUGAAGAUAAGGUGUCCUAGUCCCUUUAGGUAUAUAUGACUUACUGUGUUACAAUAUUUCAGAUGAUUCACUUCAUCACGAUGGCCUUUGGAGGUGAUAGCUACCUAAAAUUUAUGGGUAAUGAGGUAAUAUCUAGUGAUGUGUAAAAACUUGUUAUCGACUAAUCUAUUUCAUGAUUCUUUAAAAGUUGUUUUGUGAGUACAAGCAUUUUCUGCAACUGAUGUAAACAAGAUAGAGAUAUUUUUCAAGUCCUUAUUAUCCUUGGCUAAAAAAGUCGUCAUUCUGAUGGUAAUGUUUCACAAAUAAGGAAAGCUUCUAGAACAAAAUUAGCAGUAUAUAUCAAAUAAUUGACGUUAUCCCAUAACAUUUAUAUUUCUUUUCUGAUGCGCAAUUACGUGCAGUUUACUUUCAGUUUGGUCACCUAUAAUGGACUGAGUUGGUCUCAAAUGUCCCUUCUAACACAGCUAAUCAUUUUGUCAACGUGGAAAAUCAGCUGGGCUCAAAUGUCCUUUCAAAAUUGCCAAUACAAUGAUCAAAUAUUUUUAUCUUUUUUGGUGGUGGAACAAUGGUCAAAUCUUGCCUGUGUUUACCAACUAUUUUCUUGGUUCUUACAUGUUACUAAUAUGUAGUACAUGCAUUACCGAUGCAUAAAUUGGCACUGUAUUUUCCAAAAUUUAUUUGAAGGCUGCAUUAUUUUGUUGACUGAAGUUAUUUUUUCAAUACUUUUUAUAUUAUGGCUGGCUUUUCUGCAAACAACAUUUUAUUGAUUUGUCACCUAAUAUAUAAAUUUGAACAGUACAUGAAUGCAUUUGAUCAAGCAGUGGACACGCCCAGCGAUAAAUGUUCAUUCCUAUCAUCAUCAAAUCAGACUGCCAGCCACAUGAAUGAGGAAGAAAAGGUACUUAACUAUACAAUCUUCAGUCAGGGCACUUGUUUGAAUCAUUUGUUUCACUCUUAUACUCUUUAGAACGCGCCAUCAUGAUCUAGUACUCUUUAGAAUAGAACCACUAACUUGCUUAUGCGUUUAAUGUGACUGAGAAAGGUGAAACCGUAUCCAUUUCAUAUGAAUACUUGUUGUCUCAAAAUGGGCUAUGCAUUUAAUACAAGUUUCAUGGUUAUUCAGUUUGAACGUGUAGAUUUGCUGUCCGUCUUCAGUUCUUAUCAUAUAGUAGAACUUAUGCAAGAAAAUGAUUAUGCACUGCUCAUUGUUCCUUUUCUCCUUUUGUUUUUGUUAAAGUUUUACUCUCUUUCCUUUUGUGUUUCCCUUUUUUCGGGUUUGGGGGCACCUCUGGAUUACUAGGAUAUGUUUCUAACAUGUCAAUUCUUAAUCAUUGAUGAUCUGGUUCCUGCGUACCUAGGUAUCUGUAAUUCUAGUACAUAGAAGAACUCUGUGUGAUAAUAUCUGCUUUUGUCAAAGGACCAUGUCUUUAUUCCAUCAUAUGGUCUUGCAUGGUCUACCGACAUUGAUAAAAUACACAACACAUACAGUUCCGCCUUUACAUAAGUCUCUCUCAGGAAGUGUUCAAACAUAAUCGUUUCACAAAGUUUUAUUCUCCAUAUAUAUUGCUGCAACCAGUCUUGUCGAUUGCCCAGUGCUACGUAUAGUCUGGAUGACCUCGGCGAAGAGCCGGUUGCAGCAAGGAGCCAUUGCCCGCCUCAACAGCAGCCCUAUCUCCUCAGGAGGCAGUGGGCACCUACCUUGCCUCCUUCCUUUCUUUCCGUUGCUUUAACUCUCACUAUGUAGCUAAAUAAUAAAGACAUCUUACGAAAGAAGAAUCAGUAGAUGUUUAAAGGAUGAGGUACCAGUUUGUCGCUCAUUUGUGCCUUGAGCAUGCAGCCACACUUCGCAAGCUGUAAAGUGGCAACCACUUUGCACUACAAACAGCAUCACCCACAUGAACAAAAAGUAAAAUAAAAAGAAGUAAGCAGUUGUAGGAAAAAGUACAUUUUCAUACUUUUUGCUGCACAAGCUAGUGGCUCACAAUAAUCAUCUUCGAAGUAGCAAACGGUCAGAUACAUACGGCUCUCCUGGACCGUCAACAUGGCACAACACCCCCUUCCCGAUCAUCUCUCCUCGGGGCCAGCUGUCGGCUAUGGUGUUGUCUUGCAUGAAAGACAUAUAAACAAGCCAACAAAACAUUUUAGCGCUUUCUGUUUUUGCGUGCAAUCACAUGCAUGUAGAUGACUGCAUUUUUUUUUGUGGUUUUUAGUUUCUACUCCCUCCGUUCCGAAUUACUUGUCUUAGAUUUGUCUAGAUACGGAUGUAUCUAGCAUUAAAAUGAGUCUAGAUACAUCUGUAUCUAGACAAAUCCAAGACAAGUAAUUCGGAACGGAGGGAGUACAAGCCAAAGACUAUAGAUUAUGCUGGAAAUCACGAGAACAGAAUUUUAGCCCCCAAGUUCCAGUAAGCUCUUUAGUUUUAGAAAUAUUCAAAAACAAAUAAAUUUUGAAGUUAAAAGAUCCAAAGAAUUUCUACUAGAAUGCACUGCAAGCCGCCUUCUAGAUAUUAUGAAAAACAAAUCAAAUGCAGCCUGCACAAAAACAACAAACACGAUGAUCUAAAAUAGCAAACAAUGAAGAUGAUAUUUAAAUUUAAAAUUUUAGAUCAUCACACUUUGGUUCUUCCUUGAAGCUCGCAGAUAAACACUUCUCCCGGCCUCUAAAUUUUGCUCAUCCAUCCAUAGUGUAUUCUCAUAUUUACACAUCAAAGCUAUUAUGGCACAUGUACAUAUUUAUUUUUUGUGUUCCUUUUGAAAAUAAAGAAACCACUCGAGCUCCGCUGCCAAAACAAUUGCCUAGAGAACCAACAUAAAAACAUUCGACCUAUACCUCGAUGAUGUUUUCAUCAGUCCCUCAUUUUAUUUGGUUGUCUUGUUCCCAAAUGAAAAAGAAAACAAUCACUAGCGUUUUCAUAUUCUUCAUUUUUCUUCUUCUCCUUCGACUUAUUUUUUCUAUUGUCGUUCGCAAGGCUCGGGUUUGUCAACUUGCAAACUAAUCUUGUCUUGUUCAUCAUAACUUCUCUCUACCAGUUGUUGGUUGCAUUAAAUUACUACAAGAAAGAUUCAUGAUUAGAAUGAUCUAGACAUGAUGUAUGUGUUGGAAAACGUAGCAUGCAAUUUCAAAAAAAUCCUACGCUCACGCAAGAUUUAUCUAGGAGAUGCAUAGCAAUGAGAGGGGGAGAGUGUGUCCACGUACCCUCGUAGACCAAAAGCAGAAGCGUUUGUUAACGCGGUUCAUGUAGUCAAACUUCUUGUUCCGACCGAUCAAGCACCGAACGUACUGCACCUCCGAGUUCUACACACGUUCAGCUCGAUGAUGUCCCUCGAACUCUUGAUCCAGCAAAGUGUCGAGGGAGAGUUGCGCCAACACGACGGCGUGGUGACGGUGAUGGUGAAGUGAUCCAUGCAGGGCUUCGACUAAGCACUACCUGAAUAUGACCGGAGGCGUAAACUGGGGAGGGGGGCGCCGCACACGGCUAGGAAUCAAUAUUGUGUGUUCUAGGCGCCUCCCCCCGUUCAUAUAUAUAGGUGGGAGGGAGAGGGGGCAGCCAAGGGGGAGGAAGGAGGAGGUGGGAGAGAAGGAAGGGAGAGGGCCGAAUCCCUCCCCUUCCUUUCUCUCUCCUCCUCUUUCCAUCAACCCCCCUCUAUUUCGGCGUACAUGGGGCGCACCAGCCCCUUAGGGGCUGGUCUGUCCCACUCUUGGCUCAUUAGGCCCAUGUAGUCGCCGGGGGAUGCCCGGAACCCCUUCUGGUGACCCGAUACGUACUCGGUACCCCCGGAACACUUCCGGUGUCUGAAUAUUAUCGUCCUAUAUAUCAAUAUUUACCUCUCGACCAUUUUGAGACUCUUCGUCAUGUCCAUGAUCUCAUCUGGGACUCCGAACAACAUUCGGUCACCAAAUCACAUAACUCAUAUAAUACAAAAUCGUCAUCGGACGUUAAGCGUGCGAAACCUAUGGGUUCGAGAACUAUGUAGACAUGAUCGGGACACCUCUCUAGUCAAUAACCAAUAGCGGUAUCUGGAUGCUCAUAUUGGCUCCCACAUAUUCUAUGAUCUUUAUCGGUCGAACCGUUAUGACAACAUACGUUAUUCCCUUUGUCAUCGGUAUGUUACUUGCCCGAGAUUUGAUCGUUGGUAUCUUCAUACCUAGUUCAAUCUCGUUACCGGCAAGUCUCUUUACUCAUUUCAUAAUGCAUCAUCUUGCAACUAACUCAGUAAUCACUUUGCUUGCAAGGCUUCUUAUGAUGUGCAUUACCGAGAGGGCCCAGAGAUACCUCUCCGAUACUCAGAGUGACAAAUCCUAAUCUCUAUCUAUGCCAAUCCAACAAACACCUUCGGAGACACUUGUAGAGCAUCUUUAUAAUCACCGAGCUACGUUGUGACGUUUGAUAGCACACAAGGCAUUCCUCCGAUAUCCGGGAGUUAAAUAAUCUCAUAGUCGGAGGAAUAUGUAUUUGACAUGAAGAAAGCAAUAGCAAUAAAACUAAACGAUCAUUAUGCUAAGCUAAUGGAUGGGUCUUGUCCACCACAUCAUUCUCCUAAUGAUGUGAUCUCGUUCACCAAAUGACAACACAUGCCUAUGGCUAGGAAACUUAACCAUCUUUGAUUAAUGAGCUAGUCAAGUAGAGGCAUACUAGGGACGAGGUGUUUUGUCUAUGUAUCCACACAUGUAUCAAGUUUCCGGUUAAUAUAAUUCUAGCAUGAAUAAUAGACAUUUAUCAUGAUAUAAGGAAAUAUAAAAUAACAACUUUAUUAUUGCUUCUAGGGCAUAUUUCCUUCAGUCUCCCACUUGCACUAGAGUCAAUAAUCUAGUUCACAUCGCCAUGUGAUUUAACACCAAUAGUUCACAUCUCUAUGUGAUUAACACCCAUACUUCACAUCGCCAUGUGACAAACACCCAAAGGGUUUGCUAGAGUCAAUAAUCUAGUUCACAUCGCUAUGUGAUUAACACCCAAAGAGUACUAAGGUGUGAUCAUAUUUUGCUUGUGAGAGAAGUUUAGUCAAUGGUUCUGCCACAUUCAGAGCCCUAUGUAUUUUGCAAUUUUUCUAUGUCUACAAUGCUCUGCAUGGAGCUACUCUAGCUAAUUGCUCCCACUUUCAAUAUGUAUCCAGAUUGAGACUCAGAGUCAUCCGGAUCGGUGUAAAAAGCUUGCAUCGACGUAAUUCUUUACGACAAACUCUUUAUCACCUCCAUAACCGAGAAAUAUUUCCUUCCUCUUAGGUAACUAAGGAUAACUUUGCCCGUUGUCCAGUGAUCAACUCCUGGAUCACUAUCGUACCCCCUUGCCAAACUCAUGAUAAGGUACACAAUAGGUUUGGUACACAGCAUAGCAUACUUUAUAGAACCUAUGGUUGAGGCAUAGGGAAUGACUUUCAUUCUCUUUCUAUUUUCUAUUGUGGUCGGGUUUAGAGUCUUACUCAACUUUGCACCUUGCAACACAGGCAAGAACUCCUUCUUUGACUGUUCCAUUUUGAACCACUUCAAAAUCUUGUCAAGGAUCUACUCAUUGAAAAAUCUUAUCAAGUGUCUUGAUCUAUCUCUAUAGAUCUUGAUGCCUAACAUGUAAGCAGCUGCACCGAGGUCUUUCUUUGAAAAACUCCUUUCAAACUCUCCUUUAUGCUUUCCAGAAAAUUCUACAUCAUUUGUGAACAACAAUAUGUCAUUCACAUAUACUUAUCAGAAAGGUUGUAGUGCUCCCACUCACUUUCUUGUAGAUACAGACUUCACCGCCAGUCUGUAUAAAACUAUAUGCUUUGAUCAGCUCAUCAAAGCAUACAUUCCAACUUCGAGAUGCUUGCACCAGUCCAUAGAUGGAUCGCUGGAGCUUGCACAUUAAUUAGCACCUUUAGGAUUGACAAAACCUUCUGGUUGCAUCAUAUAUAACUCUUUUUUAAUAAAUCCAUUAAGGAAUGCAGUUUUGAUAUCCAUUUGCCAGAUUUCAUAAAAUGCGGUAAUUGCUAACAUGAUUCGGACAGACUUAAGCAUCGAUACGAGUGAGAAAAUCUCAUCGUAGUCAACUCCUUGAACUUGUCGAAAAUCUUUUGCGACAAGUUGAGCUUUAUAGACAGUAACAUUACCAUCAGCGUCAGUCUUCUUCUCGAAGAUCCAUUUAUUCUCUAUGGGUCGCCGAUCAUCGGGCAAAUCCACCAAAGUCCACACUUUGUUCUCAUACAUGAAUCCUAUUUCAGAUUUCAUGGCCUCAAGCCAUUUAUCGGAAUCUGGGCUCAUCAUAGCUUCUUCAUAGUUCGUAGGUUCAUCAUGGUCAAGUAACAUGACUUCCAGAAUAGGAUUGUCAUACCACUCUGGUGUGGAUUAUGCUCUGGUUGACCUACGAGGUUCAGUAGUAACUUGAUCUGAAGGCUCAUGAUCAUCAUCAUUAGCUUCCUCUCUAGUUGGUGUAGGUAUCACGGGAACAGAUUUCUCGGAUGAGCUACUUUCCAAUUUGAGAAAAGGUACAAUUACCUCAUCAAGUUCUACUUUCCUCCCACUCACUUCUUUCGAGAGAAAGUCCUUCUCUAGAAAGGUUCCAUUCUUGGCAACAAAGAUCUUGCCUUCCGAUCUGUGGUAGAAGGUGUACCCAAUUGUUUCCUUAGGGUAUCCUAUGAAGACGCACAUCUCCGAUUUGGAUUCGAGCUUAUCAGGAUGAAGCCUUUUGACAUAAGCAUCGCAUCCCCAAACUUUAAUAAAUGAUAGCUUAGGUCUAUUGCCAAACCACAGUUCAUAUGGUCUCAACAGAUUUUGACGGUGCGCUAUUUAACAUGAAUGCAGCUGUCUCUAAUGCAUAACCCCAAACCGAUAGUGGUAAAUCGGUAAGAGACAUCAUAGAUCGCACCAUAUCUAAUAAAGUACGGUUACGACGUUCGGACACACCAUUAUGUUGUGGUGUUCCAGAUGGCAUGAGUUGUGAAACAAUUCCACAUUGUUUAAAUGAAGGCCAAACUCGUAACUCAAAUAUCUGCCUGCGCAAUUAGAUCGUAGAAACUUUAUUCUUGUUACGAUGAUUCUCCCACUACAGGAAUCCAAUAUUUUGCCGUCUGCCACGGCGGACGGCAAAGGCAUGGACGGCGGACGGCAAAGAGCUUUGCCGUCAGCGGUGGAUGGCAAAGAGGGACGGCAAAGAUAGGGUCAGCAAAUAGAUGUUUCAGAUUUGUGUUUCAUUAAGUAGACAUACCCAUAUCUACUCAAAUCAUCUGUGAAGGUCAGAAAAUAACGAUACCCACCGCGAGCCACAACACUCAUCGGACCGCAUACAUCGAUAUGUAUUAUUUUCAUUAAGUCAUUGGCUCGUUCCAUUGUUCCGGAGAACAGAGUUUUAGUCAUCUUGCCCAUGAGGCAUGGUUCGCAAGUAUCAAAUGAUUCAUAAUCAAGUGAUUCCAAAAGCCCAUCAGCAUGGAGUUUCUUCAUGCGCUUUUACACCAAUAUGACCUAAACGGCACUGCCACAAGUAUGUCGCACUAUCAUUAUCAACUUUGCAUCUUUUGGCAUCAAUAUUAUGAAUAUGUGUAUCACUACGACCGACAUUCAAUAAACCAUUAACAUUGGGUGUAUGACCAUAGAAGGUUUUAUUCAUGUAAACAGAAUAACAAUUAUUCUCUGUCUUAAAUGAAUAACUGUAUCGCAAUAAACAUGAUCCAAUCAUAUGCAUGCUUAACGCAAACACCAAAUAACAUUUAUUUAAGGUUCAACACUAAUCCCGAAGAUAGAGUGAGUGUACGAUGAUCGUAUCAACCUUGGAAUUAAUUCCAACACACAUUGUCACCUCGCCCUUAACUAGUCUUUGUUUAUUCUGCAACUCCUGUUUCGAGUUACUAAUCUUAGCAACUGAACCGGUAUCAAAUACCCAGGGGUUACUACGAACACUAGUAAGGUACACAUCAAUAACCUGUAUAUCAAAUAUACCUUUGUUCACUUUGCCAUCCUUCUUAGCCGCCAAAUAUUUGGGGCAGUUCUGCUUCUAGUGACCAUUUCCUUUCAGUAGAAGCACUCAGUUUCAGGCUUGGGCCCAGCUUUGGGCUUUUUCACGGGAGUGGCAACUUUCUUGCCAUUCUUCUUGAAGUUCCCUUUCUUUCCCUUUGCCCUUUUCUUGAAACUAGUGGUCUUGUCAAUCAUCAACACUUGAUGCUCUUUCUUGAUUUCUACCUUCGUUGAUUUCAGCAUCACGAAGAGCUCGAGAAUCGUUUUCGUCAUCCCUUGCAUAUUAUAGUUCAUCACAAAGUUCUAGUAACUUGGUGAUAGUGACUAGAGAACUUUUUCAAUCACUAUCUUAUCUGGAAGAUUAACUCCCACUUGAUUCAAGCGAUUGUAGUACUCAGACAUUCUGAGCACAUGCUCACUGGUUGAGCUAUUCUCCUCCAUCUUGUAGGUGAAGUACUUGUCAAAGGUCUCAUACCUCUUGACACAGGCAUGAGCCUGAAAUACCAAUUUCUGCUCUUGGAACAUCUCAUAUGCUCCGUGGUGUUCAAAAAUGUUUUUGAAGUCCCGGUUCUAAGCUGUAAAGCAUGGCGCACUAAACUAUCAAGUAGUAAUCAUAUCGAGCUUGCCAAAUGUUCAUAACGUCUGUUUCUGCUCCUACAAUAGGUUUGUCACCUAGCGGUGCAUCAAGGACAUAAUUCUUCUGUGCAAUAAUGAGGAUAAUCCUCAGAUCAUGGACCCAGUCCGCAUCAUUGCUACUAUCAUCUUUCAACUUAUUUUUCUCUAGGAACAUAUAAAAAAUAAACAGGGGACUACAUCACGAGCUAUUGAUCUACAACAUAAUUUGCAAAUACUACCAGGACUAAGUUCAUGAUAAAUUAAGUUCAAAUAAUCAAAUUACUUAAUAACUCCCACUUAGAUAGACAUCCCUCAAGUCAUCUAAAUGAUAUGUGAUCCAAAUCAACUAAACCAUGUCCAAUCAUCACAUGAGAUGGAGUAGUCAUCAAUGGUGAUCAUCUCUAUGUUGAUUAUAUCCACUAUAUGAUUCACGUUUGACCUUUCGAUAUCCAGUGUUCCGAGGCCAUGUCUAUACAUGCUAGGCUCGUCAAGUUUAACCCGAGUAUUCCGCAUGUGCAAAACUGGCUUGCACCCGUUGUAUGUGAAUGUAGAGCCUAUCACACCCGAUCAUCACGUGGUGUCUCAGCACGAAGAACUUUCGCAACAGUGCAUACUCGGGGAGAACACUUAUACCUUGAAAUUUAGUUAAGGGAUCAUCUUAUAAUGCUACCACCGUACUAAGCAAAAUAAGAUGCAUAAAGAUAAACAUCACAUGCAAUCAAAAUAUGUGACAUGAUAUGGCCAUCAUCAUCUUGUGCUUUUGAUCUCCAUCUCCAAAGCAACGCCAUGAUCUCCAUCGUCACCGGCUCGACACCUUGAUCUCCAUCGUAGUGUCGUGGUCGUCUCGCCAACGAUUGCUUCUACAACUAUCGCUACCGCUUAGUGAUAAAAUAAAGCAAUUACAUGGCAUUUGCAAUUCAUACAAUAAAGCGACAACCAUAUGGCUCCUGCCAGUUGCCGAUAACUUCUACAAAACAUGAUCAUCUCAUACAGCAACGUAUAUCACAUCAUGUCUUGACCAUAUCACAUCACAACAUGCCCUGCAAAAACAAGUUAGACGUCCUCUACUUUGUUGUUGCAAGCUUUACAUGGCUGCUACGGGCUUCUAGAAAGAACCGUUCUUACCUACGGCACAAAACCAUAAUGGUGAUUUAUCAAGUUUGCUGUUUUAACCUUCAACAAGGACCGGGCGCAAUCAAAUUCAAUUUAACUAAAGUUGGAGAAACACACACCCGCCAGCCACCUUUAUGCAAAACUAGUUGCAUGUCUGUCGGUGGAACCGGUCUCAUGAACAUGGUCAUGUAAGGUUGGUCCGGGCCGCUUCAUCCAACAAUACCGCCAAAUCAAAAUAAGAUAUUGGUGGUAAGCAGUAUGACGAUCACCUCCCACAACUCUUUGUGUUCUACUCGUGCAUAUCAUCUAUGCAUAAACCUGGCUCUGAUACCACUAUUGGAAAACGUAGCAUGCAAUUUCAAAAAAAUUCCUACACUAACGCAAGAUCUAUCUAAGAGAUGCAUAGCAACGAGAGGGGGAGAGUGUGUCCAUGUACCCUCGUAGACCUAAAGCGGAAGCGUUUGUUAACAUGGUUGAUGUAGUCAAACUUCUUCUCAUUCCGACCGAUCAAGCACCAAACGUACAGCACCUCCGAGUUCUACACAUGUUCAGCUCGAUGACGUCCCUCGAACUCUUGAUCCAGUAAACUGUCGAGGGAGAGAUGCAUCAGCACGACGACGUGGUGACGGUGAUGGUGAAGUCAUCCAUGCAGAGCUUCGCCUAAGCACUACGUGAAUAUGAUCAGAGGCGUAAACUGUGGAGGGGGGCGCCGCACACGGCUAGGAAUCAAUAUUGUGUGUUCUAGGCGCCUCCCCCUUCAUAUAUAUAGGUGGGAGGGAGAGGAGGCAGCCAAGGGGGCGCCCAAGUAGGAGGAAUCUUACUUGGGGCCCAAAUCCUAUUCGCCCCCCCCCCCUACCAUAACUCCCGAAGGGGGAAGGAAGGAGGAGGGGGGAGAGAAGGAAGGGGGAGGCCGAAUCCCUUCCCUUCCUUUCUCUCUUCUCGUCUUCCCUUCCCCCCCCCCUCUAUUUCCGCCUACAUGGGGCGCACCAGCCCCUUAGGGGCUGGUCUGUCCCACUCUUGGCCCAUUAGGCCCAUGUAGUUGUCGGGGGGAUGCCCGGAACCCCUUCCAGUAAACCCGAUACGCACCCGGUACCCCCGGAACACUUCUGUUGUCCGAAUACUACCGCCCUAUAUAUCAAUAUUUACCUCUUAACCAUUUCGAUACUCCUCAUCAUGUCCGUGAUCUCAUCCGGGACUCCGAACAACAUUCGGUCACCAAAUCACAUAACUCAUAUAAUACAAACCGUCAUCGAACGUUAAGCGUGCGGACCCUACGGGUUCGAGAACUAUGUAGACAUGACCGAGACACCUCUCCGGUCAAUAACCAAUAGCGGAACCUGGAUGCUCAUAUUGGCUCCCACAUAUUCUACAAAGAUCUUUAUCAGCCAAACCGUUAUGACAACAUACGUUAUUCCCUUUGUCAUCGGUAUGUUACUUGCCCGAGAUUCGAUUGUUGGUAUCUUCAUACCUAGUUCAAUCUCGUUACCGGCAAGUCUCUUUACUUGUUCCGUAAUGCAUCAUCCUGCAACUAACUCAUUAGUCACUUUGUUUGCAAGGCUUCUUAUGAUGUGCAUUACCGAGAGGGCCCAGAGAUACCUCUUCGAUACUCGGAGUGACAAAUCCUAAUCUCGGUCUAUGCCAACCCAACAAACAUCUUUGGACAAACCUGUAGAGCAUCUUUAUAAUCACCCAAUUACGUUGUGACAUGUGAUAGCACACAAGGCAUUCCUCCGGUAUCCGGGAGUUGCAUAAUCUCAUAGUCGGAGGAAUAUGUAUUUGACAUGAAGAAAGCAGUAGCAAUAAAACUGAACAAUCAUUAUGCUAAGCUAAUGGAUGGGUCUUGUCCAUCACAUCAUUCUCCUAAUGAUGUGAUCUCGUUCAUCAAAUGAUAACACAUGCCUAUGGCUAGGAAACUUAACCAUCUUUGAUUAACGAGCUACUCAAGUAGAGGCAUACUAGGGACACGGUGUUUUAUCUAUGUAUCCACACAUGUAUCAAGUUUCUGGUUAAUACAAUUCUAGUAUGAAUAAUAGAAAUUUAUCAUGAUAUAAGAAUAUAUAAAAUAACAACUUUAUUAUUGCCUCUAGGGCAUAUUUCCUUCAGUAUGAUGUAGCAAAAAAACAUCACGAUAAAAUCAUAAAAUGGCAUGGUGAAUCGAAAGCUUGGAAGGAAGUUAUGCUCAUCGGAGUCCUUGGUAUCUAAAUGUCCAAUCUCGUCACGGCGCAUGUACUUCACAUAUAUUGUGAUGCAAAUGUUUGUCUUUAUUUACAAUUAUGGUUCCCUAGUAAAUGUAUACUACUUUCUUAACCAAUAAACAUUAUACAAUAUAUAAAUAAAAUGCUCCAAGCAUGUGAGAUAUAGUAAACAUGCAAGACACAGUAAACACAUGAUGCAGUAAGCACGCGAUGUAGUUCAGACACGUGAUACAGUUGACACAUGAAGACGUGGGUGAAUGCAUCUUUGUCACUCUCAAAUGCACCUUUGUCGUUGGCAAGGCAAAUUUGUGCUUCUCAACUACAUAUUUGUCAUAGUCAACUGCAUCAAUAUCAACGACAACAUUUACUUGACUUUAUGAGAUAAUGUGCACUCCUUAAAAUAUAUGUUUAAUGCUAUAUUUCUAAUAGAUUUCAAAAUAUUUUUCUCUUGAUUAGUUUUAAAUGGUAUAUAACUUGUCAAUUUGCUAAAUAAGAUAAAUUCAAUAUAUAUAGUAGGAUCAACUUGACUUAAAAAACAAUAAUCGAGAUAAUUGUUUUAGGUUGAACUUGAUACUUAUAGAACCAAACUUGAAGUCAGCAAGAUCAGAACCCUAGUGGAACUAGGUAGUGAUAUAAGAAAUUAGAGAAUAACUCGAGACUUACGAAUGAUUAAUGUUUACUUUUUACACAUAAUAUUUAUAGUUUACUCUGUUCAUCCACAUCGAAUGACAAUUACAUCCCCUCCUUCUAUUAAAAUCAUAUAACAAAAAAUUUCACAGUAUUCUGAAUUUUUUCUCAUAAAAAGACAUAAUUACUCCACACACUUAUCUUCCACUUGCUUAGGGACUGAUUGUAUCUGUGUACCAUAUUUCUAAACGAAAGUGUAAUCGCAAGCGAAUAGCUUAAUGGAUUUUGAACUAUUUGAUUCUUUAGAAUGGGAAUUAUAUUGAGAUAACAUAUCAUUCACAAAGGGCUCUUGCCUAUUUAUAGUAAUUUUUCUUACUUAUUUAUAAGUCACCACCGUUAAACGAUGCUAUCUUUUUUAACCAAUAUAUUUUUCAUUAAUAUUUGGAUCUGCCACAUUAGAAUUCACAAUCCUUUUGAGGGAAAAAAGGUGGAAUGUUAGUGUAGAUGAUUCCUUAUGAUUUUGGAUAAGAUAGGUGGAAGUUGUAAGUCCUAACUUGAACGGCUAUGAUUGAACUAUAUAUAACAAAUUUUUCCAUGCAUUAACAAUGUUUUAAUCUUGGCAUUUUAUAGAUAUAAAAGUCAAACUCUACAAUUACAAACAUAAAAAUAUUAAUGUAGAACUCUAUUUUAUUGUUAAGUUGUGUUAGUGUUUGAAAUUACAGUCUAGAGCAUUUCGUGAACUUGAAUCCAACCUAUUAAUAAAACAAAAGCAUAAAAAAAUGACAAAUUCACAUAUGAAAUAACUUGUCUCGCACAGAUUUAUUACAAUAGGUUUGUGUGUGUGUGUGUGUGCGCGCGCGCGAGCACCUACAGUAAUAUCUAUAAAUAUCUUGAUAGAUGUUUCUACAAUUCAUGGGUCAAACUAAUAAUGCAAUACAUGUUAAUAGAAUAGAAUCUGAGUUCCAUUUGACUAAUAAUUUUCAAAUGUAUGAGUUGUCAACAUGUGGUAUGUCUUCAUAUUCCAGCAUGUAGCCUUUGUUACUUGGCAUUGUUUGUUUGUUCAUUUUUAUGGAGACUCUCCUCUUUCUACAUGGUUUAAUUUCCAUAUGUCGAGUGUAGCAUGUCUAGUGCAACUAAACUCAAAAACCCACUUGACCACUAACCCAGCUUACCCUUAUUUGUGAAUUUGACAAGAUGGUUUGAAAGCUCAUCGAAUGUAAUAGCUACAUUGCUUGGUAGGGGCAAUGUAAUCAUACACAAUCAAUCAUGCCGCAUAUAUAGACGAGAGGUCUCCAGGUGAACACCCUUGUUACCCUAACAUCGAUUGUCCAUACUCGAAUGAGCUACAAAACUAGUGGAUUGCAUGAAUAAACAGAGAUAAUUUGUACAUGUUGUUUUGUGCUAUAUUAUUAAUUGCUAAAAAGGAAAUAUGAUCGUCAAGAUAAAGAUAAUACUUAAGAAUACAAUUGCACUAAAGUCACAUAUCCCAAGUGAUGGGCCUGAUCCUGAAAUAAAAUCACAAGCUUUGUUGCCGUCAUCGCGACAACAUAUUAUUAGGGGGUAGACCUUGUGGUAGUACUCAUGAUGUAAAGUUAUUGGGAGGGGGAGAAUGUAUGGGGCCUUAUGUGAAGGGCAUCGUACACAAGAUAGAGCUCACACAUCAACAAUUUUUAAAUGUAUUUGGUCGCCCCUUGUUGAAGUGUGAAGUGCUCCUUUGUUAGAAGAGGUAAAAGGAGAAGCGCCUUAGCUAGCAAGUAGGUCUGGUUAGGGAAAAUGCUGCCUUGACACUUCCAUUUUCCUCAAUAGGGAAGUGCUUUAACUAAAGGCUACACCCACUUAAGAAGUGGUUGCUUUGAUCCUUCGCUUCCCUCGACAUCGUCAUGUGCCUUUCUAGGUCCCUCGAAUCAAAGUCCUUUCUCCAAGCCUUUCAUUGGAUUCCCUGGAUGUAUAUUUUGUUGUGGUUUAUUCAAGUGAGAGUGAAUGAUUAUAUAUCCAUAUAUGGGGGUGGGUAUAAAGGUUGACGAUAUUCGACAUAUAUAGACCAUGUUGGAGUAUGGAGGAAAUGGUGGUNNNNNNNNNNNNNNNNNNNNNNNNNNNNNNNNNNNNNNNNNNNNNNNNNNNNNNNNNNNNNNNNNNNNNNNNNNNNNNNNNNNNNNNNNNNNNNNNNNNNNNNNNNNNNNNNNNNNNNNNNNNNNNNNNNNNNNNNNNNNNNNNNNNNNNNNNNNNNNNNNNNNNNNNNNNNNNNNNNNNNNNNNNNNNNNNNNNNNNNNNNNNNNNNNNNNNNNNNNNNNNNNNNNNNNNNNNNNNNNNNNNNNNNNNNNNNNNNNNNNNNNNNNNNNNNNNNNNNNNNNNNNNNNNNNNNNNNNNNNNNNNNNNNNNNNNNNNNNNNNNNNUUAUUUCUAUUAGGUCUUCAUGCAAUGAUUUUUUUUCCUCUUAGCCCAUUCUUCUCUUGGAUUUAUUAACCAUGAUUAGUUGUUUCGACUUCUAUUUACUUGACUUGAAUUUGACAAUUUGCCUCAUAUGUGCCAUGUAGGACUGAUAUGAAGAUAUAUUCACACAACAUUAACUUAUAAAGGAGUUACAAACAUAGUUUUGCAAACUACUUCCUUUUAUGCCAAAAGUUAUUCAAACAUAGAUUUACAAACAAAAGAUGCCACCAUGCAUGACCAUGCACUCUCUCAUGUUUAUUCUAGAAACCAUUAAUCUCUUUGUUGCAAAAUAUUCUGUCUAUUCUUCUUGUUUUUUGGGAAUAACUCUAGAAGGUGAUCUCAGAGAAGGUUAAAGUGAGACGAGUAAAAGCAACUCUAGUAGAAUCGCCAUAAUGCCAAUAUGAUGUUUUCAGGCCAAAAUGGCACUUUACCAGUCACCAUAUGCCUCCGGGUCACCAUAAUUUAUAAAGCUCACUCCAUAAACAAGUUUCUAGCCUCCAAAUGUGGAGGUCUUGGAGGCCUCGUUGGCCCUCACUCCAUAUCCAACCGCAAGCGCAUGAGGGAAGUUUUCACUUCUUCCUCCUUGCGCCAACGCUAGGAUUUCACACAACGUGCCACAGGUACAUGCACCACCAUGCACAGAUAAUCACCGGUGAGUAGGGUGACAUGAUGGCUAAGCACCCUCCAAUUUGUGGCGUACUCGCUCCCCUCGGAUUCAUGAGGCGGCCAUUCGGAUGGCAGCCGCAUAGCAUCACCCUGCCUAUAAAAGCUCGACGACAUCACUGAAACCUCCAGCUGCCACCUACUCCUUCCUCAUGUAUCCUUCCCUCUUCUCCACAAUGUCGUCAUGAUGGAGGGACACAACUUAUUGGCUAAACCGCUUGUCCAAUUGCGGUGCACCGAUGGUGCGAUCCCCCAUGGUAGUAGGUGAUUCUUCAUCCCACAACAGCGUGUGUGGCGCUUCCUCCUCUUGUGGCGGAUCUGUCUGCUCCCAUGGCAACAUGAAGCAUUGAUAUGGCUCCUCGGGUGCCAUCAGACAUGUCAAUGAGGUCAUCCAACACCGCUGGCCUCAUCAUGCCCGAGGACCGAUCAAUGCCGUGAUGCGACUCUCCACCCUCGAAGCUCGCAAUGAGGAGCGCAUCCAUUGGGAGCUUUGCCCUGCAACCAUCGAUGAGUCGAAACAGCGGGAACUUGCCAUAUGCCUUCCUCGACUCCCGGAGGAGGAUGGCAACAACGGUGGUAUUGCAGGUAGUAGAACAUAGCAAUGUCGGAUAGCGGCAUUGCAUAUCUUGAAAAUGUCGCUCAAUGACAUUUGAAGUCACAAAAAAAUGUUUGUGCGAUGACUUUUGGUAGUAAUAUAAGUUAAUCAUGUUUGAUGAUGAUUGAAUUGGUUUGGUUUAACUAAAUGUACCUUAAAUUGAACAUACAAAUUUGAAGCAAAUGAAAAAGAUGAAAAAUCUAAAACCACAAAUAUGGACGUUGCAUAUGGAGACUCUGUGUUUGUGCACAACAGCAGCAGCUACCAAAUGCAGAUGAACAUGCUCCAUAUGGCAUAUGCCGACCACACUAUGGUGACACUGCUAGAAUUUCUCUAAGAGCAUCUCCAGCCACGCCCCCAACAGGUCCCCCAGGGCGACUUUUUGGGCCACGACGCCGAAAAAAAAGCCCCAGUCGCGCCCCCAAGACACCGAAAUCCGCUGGCUCGGCCCGUUUUUGAGCCCAGCGAUCCCAGGCUGAACCCAGCGUGCUGGGGGCGCUCGGUGGGUCUGGCCGAAGGGACAAACAUACCUGCGCCACACUGUCAGGCGAAAAGUCAAGGAAAUCGUCCAGAUUCGCCCCCUACGCCCGCGCCCUCGGCCAUGACCCCUGCCGACCCCGGCGCCGCCCGCCGCCCAUCACCGCUAGAUAGGCCAUUCCCCACCGGAAAGGAGAGAAGGUUUCGCCGCGGCAACCUCAUCACCACCUUCCAGGAGAAUUUUCCAGUGCCCCGACCGCGCAGGGCGGCAUACUAGCGGUUGUGCCUCUACCACGCCCGCCAGUUGUUCGGUGAUUUGUCUGCCCGGCCCGGUGAUGGACUCGGACGACGAGGAGGCGCUCGCGGCAUUGCUGGAGGAGGAAGCCGAAGCUGACGUCCAGGAGGAGGAGCAUCUCAUGGUCCCUGUCGCCCUUGCCGGCCUGCUCGCGAGCAAUGAAAAGCCGCGACGAGGUGGCUCGGUGCCGGGGAGGGUGAAAGCAAAGAACUGUCAUCGUCUGGAAGGCUACUGCAUGCUAUAUUCCGACUACUUCAACGACGCUCCAUUGCACAGCGAGAAAACAUUUCGGCGCCGUUAUCGGAUGAGCCGAAAGCUUUUCCUCGGGAUUGUGAAUUCCAUCCGGGAGUUCGACAGCUACUUCAAGUGCAAGAAGGAUUGCACUGGCACACUUGGAUUCACCUCAAUUUAGAAGUGCACGACAACUAUGAGGAUGCGUGCAUACGGAGCUCCCGAUGAUUCACUCGACGACUAUGGGCGCAUGGCCGAUUCCACGACCAUUGAGUGUUUCUACAAGUUCUGUAGGGCAGUGGUGGUAGUGUUUGGACCGCAAUACUUGCGAUCACCCAAUGCUGAAGACACUGAUCGGAUCCUAACACAGAAUGCAGCAAGAGGAUUUUCUGGGAUGCUUGGAAGCAUCGACUGCAUGCAUUGGAAAUGGAAAAACUAUCCAUUUGCUUGGCAGGGGAUGUACAAAGGCGCCAAAGGCGGUUGCAGUGUGGUACUUGAGGCAGUGGCCCCACAUGACCUCUGGAUUUGGCACUCUUUCUUUGGGAUGCUAGGAACUCACAAUAGCAUCAACGUCCUGCAGUGCUCCCUUGUCUUUGUCAAGCUUGUUGAAGGCCAUUCUCCUCCGGUGAACUUCGAGAUCAAUGGGCGGCACUACAACAAGGGGUAUUACCUAGCUGAUGGCAUCUAUCCGAGAUGGUCUACAUUUGUGAAGAUUAUCUCAAACCCUGUGCCAGGAGGCAAGAACUCCCACUUUGCGAAGGUUCAGGAGGCUUGCAGGAAGGAUAUCGAGCGGGCAUUUGGUGUGCUCCAAUCUCAAUUUGCUGUUGUCCGGUACCCUGCUCAAACCUAGUCGAAAGAUCAAAUGUGGGAGAUCAUGACUUGCUGUGUCAUCUUGCACAACAUGAUCAUUGAGAGCGAGCAGGAAGAGCCAAUGUUUGACACUGAACCAUAUUACAGGCAGGGUCCUCUUGCGCAAGUUGAUCACCAGCUACCGGCAACCUGGACUGCCUUCCUCAAUAUGCGUCAGGAGAUCCGAGACCCACAGGUGCAUCAACAACUGCAGCACGAUCUGGUGGAGCACCUAUGGAGGCUCAAGGGCAAUGCUGCCUAGCUCGACGUGUGAUGAAAUAAGAGUUUUUAUUUGUUGAACUUAAUUUGUAUUGAAUUAUUUUUUUGUUGAACUAUUUGAUUUCUAUUGAUUUUCGGUAAUGAACUAUGUGAUAGAAAAAGUUACUUGUGUUGAAUUUGUGCCCAACCAUAGCGAACAAUGGCCGAUUUGCACCGAUAUUGGGCCAAUUUGUCGCCGAAAAUGGGCCGAAAAGCGGGUGCUUUGCGAAACAGAUGGGCCGAUAUCGGCGCCUGGGGCGGCGAGUGGGAACCCAAUCGCCCCCAGCACCGAGUUUUGCACCGGCUCGCCCCCAGGCGGCGAUUUUCAGGCCUCCUGGGGGGGGGGCAACGGCUGGAGAUGCUCUAAAGCCGCUUUUAGUGCCUUUUGCUUGUCGUGCAGGGGUGCCCCAUGUAGGGAGCAAGGGUAGUUGGACUGUUGGUGUCCCCUUUCUUAUUUUCUUAGAAAACUAUUUCUUUCUCUCUUGUGGUUUCUCCAGACUUAUAUAUCCUUUUUUUUCAUUUCGCUCCCCCUUUUUUUGCCAUUUUCUUCCGGUUUCAUCUUUUUUUAGUAUUACUUGUUGUCUCUUAUGAAAAGUACAUAUGCAUAUGGAGGUGCACUAAACAUAGAAAGUAUAAACACUAACAUGAGAAAUAUGUUUUGCACGGGCAAAAAAAUUCAUCAACACCUAUCGAAAUGAGCAAUGCAAGCACUUAAAAUUUGAACACUCAGUUUAAAAUAUACUUUUAGAAAAAAUAUAUGCAAGAACUCCAACCCAACCCAACCACAUGCUAUACGGUAGGGAUGUAAGUGGCAAAUAAAUGGCGUCCGCAAUCCCGUUUAGUUAGUUUUUGCUAGCUUGAUAGUUCAUUUUCUUCAAACAAAAAAAAUAUUUUUGAACUAUCAUAUCAUUAUCAUAAGUGGACUUUAAAAGGGAUUAAGCGGGACCCGGUUGACAUCCCUACUAUACGCUUGAUCCAUAUGAAACCACGUUCGCUAUCCGGUACUUUCCUGAAAAGGAAAGUAACGCUAGCCGAUUUCCAAUUGAAAGAAUGAGAGUUGAGGUGGCGCGAAGCUCCGAGGCUGAGAUGGGGACGACCAUGGUGUCCCUGGAGAAACCUUGCCGGAGAUGGGGACAUUGCAGUUGACACGAGAGCAGUGAGGGGUUGCGAUACACAUAGCGAAACAUUGGACACCAUUUUUUCGCCCUACAGAAACCUCAUUUCAUUCUCCCACGCCGACAAGCAACAACCAGCCAUUGGAGUCCCACUAGUCUUUGCAAAGAGUAAAUUCUUUUUGCCGGACAGUGCAAAGAGUAGUAUUUCUUUUGUGAAAGUGAUGCCUUUUUAGUGAUUGGGAUCUUCUUUUAGAGCAAAUAUAUAUAUCCUCCCACUUUUUUCACAAAACCAGCGAAGGCUGGAAAAAGGAAAACUGACGAAGGCCGAAAGCGGCGAGGCACGUGAGGGCCCAUGGCUUUGCCCCGGCCCAGCGACGCACGCUCUCUCCCCGCCGACCGUCCACGUGCACCCCGGCCCGCCCGGGCCCACAGAUCCGCUUCUCCCUCGCCCCCUCCCUCUCGUUGCUUCCACUCCACUGUUUGUUGUCCUGUUGAGAGCGGCCACGGGGGAAAAAAUCACGCCUUUCCGUUCCGUUGCGUCUCCGGCGCCACACUCCUCCGGCCGGCCGCUAUAAAGCGCGCCGGGUCACGGGCCCCGCGGACAAUGGGACCCCCGUCCGCCGCCAUCGACAUCGACAUCGACGACGAUGCUCUGCCUCACCUCCUCCUCGCCCUCGCUCCUGCCGCGCCCUUCCCGUCCCGCUGCUGACCGGCCCGGUCCGGGGAUCUCGGUGAGUCAGUCGGGAUCUUCUUUUCUUUUCUUUCGUUUCCGGCCUCCGUUCCGCCGGGGUUCCCUGAUGCGAUGCCGCGCGCGCGCAGGGCGGCGCCAAUGUGCGGCUGAGCGCGGUGCCCGCGCCGUCUCCGCUUCGCUGGAAGGUGAGCCCUCUCCCCUGCCUAUCCAGAUUUGCGGCCUUGAUCCCCUCUUGUCGCCGGGCAAACGGAAUCUGAUCCAUGGUGGUGGUUAUUCCAAAUACUACUACUACUACUGCUAAUAAACUUGAGGCUGGGAUUCGUCCACUUGACGCCGUCCAUUGAGGAACAAGUGGGUGUGAUUUCGAUUGGAUUUCUCUGCCUUCAUGCGAUCCAUAUACUGUUAUAUCCUCUCCUGCACUAUUUCAAUCGAAAUGUGGUAAUCUGUGAUGAAUGUAUCAACCAAUAAUCUGUGAUGAAUUUAUCAACUACUCUGUAAUUAGUUGCUGCAUUGUGCCAAAUAUAUUUAAUUGUGUAAACACAUGAUCCUGUGCUGUAUCUCCAUUACUUCUUUAGUUGUUGUAAAUCUGCCGCUCGCUCUAACUGUCGUUCGUUUAUGGAAGGCCAAGAGCGAUUUCUCUGCUCCCGUGUCUGCGCCAAGAGACUACACCAUGGCAACAGCUGAAGAUGGCGUCGGCGACCUUCCGAUAUACGAUCUGGAUCCGAAGUUUGCCGGCUUCAAGGAACACUUCAGUUACAGGAUGAAAAAGUAUCUUGAACAGAAACAUUCGAUUGAGAAAUAUGAGGGGGGCCUUGAAGAGUUCUCUAAAGGUCAGCUUUCAUUCAUGUGUUCGAAACAAUAGUGCUCCUUUCGUGGCGUCCGCAGCACAAAAGGGCGUAAUGUAACUCUGUUUUAUAGGCUACUUGAAGUUUGGGAUCAACACAGAAAAUGACGCAACUGUGUACCGGGAAUGGGCCCCUGCAGCAAUGUAAGUUCUAGUGUUGUCACACAGCUAAUUGCAAUGGUCGUUGGUUAACCUAUGCAGUGCUGAUGAAACUGUCUAAGAGUUAGAGUAUUUUCCAUUUUUGUUUCCAGUGAGAUGACUUAUCUUUUCUGAUUGUAGCUAGUAAAGAAUAGAUAACUAUUUCAGGUUUUCACUCAUGGCUUGUCCUGUGCUGUUAAGUUAAGCAUUACAGGUAGAUCAGGAUGCGCUAGAGAGAAAAUAUGAAAUAUGUUUUCCCUUUUAUAGUUAUGGUCAUAGUUGGCUGGUAUACAUUACUUUUAUGGCAAUACUUGCUUCUCACUAUCUUUAGUAGAUUCAUGUAUUUACUUGCUAAUCAUUACUUUAUGGAUGUAGGGAUGCACAACUUAUUGGUGACUUCAACAACUGGAAUGGCUCUGGGCACAGGAUGACAAAGGAUAAUUUUGGUGUUUGGUCAGUCAGGAUUUCCCAUGUCAAUGGGAAACCUGCCAUCCCCCAUAAUUCCAAGGUUAAAUUUCGAUUUCACCGUGGAGAUGGACUAUGGGUCGAUCGGGUUCCUGCAUGGAUUCGUUAUGCAACUUUUG